rfam:Rattus norvegicus chromosome 20, whole genome shotgun sequence.
GGGGAUUUAGCUCAGUGGUAGAGCGCUUGCCUAGAAAACACAAGUCCCUGGGUUCGAUCCCCAGCUCCG